CUACGUGCCAGCAGCCGCGGUAAUACGGAAGGUCCAGGCGUUAUCCGGAUUUAUUGGGUUUAAAGGGAGCGUAGGCUGGAGAUUAAGUGUGUUGUGAAAUGUAGACGCUCAACGUCUGAAUUGCAGCGCAUACUGGUUUCCUUGAGUACGCACAACGUUGGCGGAAUUCGUCGUGUAGCGGUGAAAUGCUUAGAUAUGACGAAGAACUCCGAUUGCGAAGGCAGCUGACGGGAGCGCAACUGACGCUUAAGCUCGAAGGUGCGGGUAUCGAACAGGAUUAGAUACCCUGGUAGUCCGCACAGUAAACGAUGGAUGCCCGCUGUUGGUACCUGGUAUCAGCGGCUAAGCGAAAGCAUUAAGCAUCCCACCUGGGGAGUACGCCGGCAACGGUGAAACUCAAAGGAAUUGACGGGGGCCCGCACAAGCGGAGGAACAUGUGGUUUAAUUCGAUGAUACGCGAGGAACCUUACCCGGGCU
rnacentral:rRNA from 1 species